UUGCAGAGGCUUACUUGCAGUCCCUGAGCAAGGCUAUGUCGCACUACCACAAGGCCCAACUGCUGCUCCUCGACAUCACCGACUUCUCGCUGUGGGUCAGCAGCAAGAGAUCAAAUCCAGAGCAAGUAUGAGAGCUCCAGUAAGCCAUCGUCCAGAACCAGUCCAUGUCUGAGACGACGUUUGGAAGGGUGUCCGAUUUCAUCGCACCUUUUGCAAUGUUUCCUAAGACGGAUGAGCCUAGAGGUACCAGAACAAUACAAUUCAAUCUCUUCUCAUGUUUCUGCAAGAGUAGAUACAGUGUACUGUGUUGGAUAUGCUGACUCGUUUUGAGGGAGCUAGAAAAUCUGUGGUGCUUCCUGGAAUCACGUUAUUCAAGAUGUGGAAGAUCUAAAAUCCUCUGUGAAAGAUUUUGGUUCUGCGGAAGCCAAUGAUCUGGCACUGGGACCUUAACUUCUGGAGUGAACGACUGCGGGAAUCAAAAUACAAUAUUGAUGAGGUUCUUUCUUUACAGAAAUCGAUUACAAUAUUAAUGAAAUUAGCUCCUGGCCAUUGCAUAUUUCCAUACUUAUUGGAAUUCGGUUUUAUCAUUAAUUGUUGAUUUAACUUUUUAGCUCUGAUGUAUGAGAAAACUAUCUGCAUUUCUUAUCUAUCAUGGAUAUGCUGAUAUAUUGCUCUACUAAAAGGAAUUGUUGGCCUAAGAUGUUAUUAUAUACGUGACAUGUUAUUGGCUAAAUAUGAUUCAUACUUUACAAACUCCUUACAGCUGGAGUAGGAUCCAAUGAACAGAUGAUGAAAAAUAAAUUAAGCACUUGCUUUGAUUUGUUCAAAUUUUUACAGAAACUGUUAGAACACACUUUUCUUUGCAAGCCGGAUACAAAGAGGAAUGUGUUAAAUAUAUGGAAGAUAAAAUUAUUUGCAAGCAAACUCUGCUUGUUUGCCAUAUUUUGCGCACCGUCUUAAAAUUAUUUGUCCAAUGGAAGGACUCUCUGCAACAUCAAUUCCAGUAUGUUGCUUUAGUUGUUCUGUGUGAUGCAAGGUAAUAUUUUUCUUGCAAUUUUUGCAUCUUUUACCUUUUCACUUCUGUUGAGAGAAACAUGUUGUUUCUUAAGAAGAUAUUGUUUAUAAGACGGAACAAUACUCACCAUAUAUGAUAUUCUUCCACCAAAUAAAUAUUUUUUGAGUGCAACUAAAAUCGUUUUCCUUCUCAUUCAUGAUACUGUGGUCUGACAUAGCUGAUGGAUGUUCAGGUUUCUCUAUUAAUUGCAAUGCCUUCUAGAUGUUCUACUAUAGUGUUAUUUGUCUGUGCUUUAAUAUCCAUUCUGCAUGUGUUCUUUUGUUUAUUUUCAAGAUAUCCUGGCUCUCUGGAAUAUGCCCUGUUCAGCUGAAAGGAUGUAUUGCAAUUAUGCAGAGAGAUCGAAUUGUUCGGACUCCAGUGCCACUUUCAGUUUUCUAAUUUUUGCAGGGAUAUUGAGUGAGGGCUGGUCUAAACUUUAAGAGAAUAACUUAUUACAUUCUGGGAUCACCAACUUUUGGCGUUUUCUCGGACUAGGUAGGUAGGACCAUUAGCAAUUCUCCUGAUUUGCUUGCAAGAUUGAUUUAUGAAAAUAUCAUGGUCGUUAUAUUUCGGUUUGCUGCUAAUUUCAUUGAAUAUGUUUUGAUGGAUCCUUUUUAAGCUUUCAUCCUUUACCAUUUGUAAAAGUAACUAACACAUUCGUGAUUGAAUUUUUGAAUGGUUAAUGGGAACACUAUAGGUCUUGUUUCUUCGCUUUUUUAAUGUUCCAUAUAUUUUUCAUGUACAUACCAUAGUGUGCAUUCAACCAUCUACGAAGCUUCAUGACUGAUUAAAUGUUACAGCUGCUAAUGUUAUUGUGUUUCAUGGAUCAAGUUUUUCUUUCUGUUUCCGCAUUGACGUGUUGUUUCAAUGGUAGAGUUAGUUUUUUUUGCGGGAAUGGUAGAGUUAGUUACGACUGGUGUUUUCCUUGCGUCCCUGCCGCCCUGGCUACAGCUUGUUAUGCCAAUUGUGGCAGAGUGAAGGGAGGGAGAGACUAAAAUAAUUGUAGUUCUGAGACAUAAAUGUGUCAACAGAGCUUAUGGUUUCCACUGCGGUUUUUCUCAAAUAACCAAUAUAUGUCUGCAUUCUUAAUAUUUCUUGCUUCUAUUUGUAAUCUUACUAUUUUCUCCAUGAUACACUUGCUUACCAAUAUGGUAUUGUGUUCAGUGUAUGUGGCCUACCGUAUCCGUGAUGUGGUGGCAGGAAGAGGCCAGUGCCACCAUUACUGUAUCCGUGUCAGCCAUGGUGGCAUGAAGAAGCAUAAAUUCAGAGUAUUGCUAUGAUGUUCUUCUCUAGCGUUGCAGGUGUAUCCGCAAAGUGUCUCAUAAUAUUUGGUUAAAGCCUGCAAUUGUUUAGGUGAUAUGAACUUCCUUUAUCUUGAAUGGAUUUGAACUCCAGCCAAAUUCAAGUGAUGAAAGGUCAGUUUUGUGCUGAUUCACAAGUUUAGAUAUCGUCCCUCCAGUGUACUUCUUGGUUGAUUAAUGAAAAAUGCUUUCUGCUCACUUCCCCUUCCUAGAUUAGUCUGUGUAUGAAAAGAAAAAUUCUUUUUUUGUAUAAUACUAUCGAUACCAUGGAAUAGUUUUUAUGAAUGAUCCUCUUUAGCUAACAUUUAAUCAAGGUUACCUAAAGAGAAUGAUAUCACUUCAUAAAAACCAUUCAUGAAGAGAAUCAUUCAUAAAAACAAUUCUCUUUAUGAUAGUAUUAUACAGAAAAAGCUAACAUUUGUAUAAGGAGAAUCAUUCUCUUUAGCUAACAUUUAAUCAUGGUAUUUGGUGGAACUGGCUGUGGAGUAUUAGGUAGAUUGUGAUAUGGUGAAUUAUUUGUUAGACACGACAUUACGAGCUCCUCCUUUGCAGCAGUACAUGGAUUUUUUGUACAUAAAUCUCAUGAGUCCAUUAUGCCUUACGUAUCUGAACCUAUGAUUCUAGAGAAGAUAUAAUAUACUUCUGGAUUACACAAGAGCUUAUUGUUUUAUUCCAUUCUUAGUCUACUGAUGGUAAAUGAUAUAUGGAAAAUCAACAUUUCAAGAUUUGGUGUUGUUAGCAUUAGACGGUGUGCAUCAAAUAUGAAAGUAGGGCCAAGCAUCAAAGGCAAGGUGAAGGAAGGUGCCUGUGUGGUUCUUCUGCAGCUCGCAGCGAGGAUUGCUGUGUCCAACCUGCACAAGAAUGCCAAGAAGUCCUUGGAGACGAUUAAGGACAUGUACCUGUACUACAACGAGAGAUCUGGGCUGCUUCUUUGUGGCUUCCAAACUUGAAAUGUUUGUUUGGAAGUUAGUUUAGUUUUUUGUUGUGGAUUCACACCUUCUCACAUGUACCAUCCGGUUAGACCUUUAGAUUUCCAAAGAAACUAAAUGAAGAUAUGGUGGUAUGGUUUCAUUUGUACAACUUAAAGCCUUUCAUGCUUUAUAUUUUCUCGGCAAUUUGCUCUUGAAGAAUCAUGUAUCUAUGUUAGAUCCGGUGAGAAAAGGCGGCUUCAAAGCAGAGGAUUCGGGAGUGUUGGCCACAUUUGGUUUUUGACUUGGGUGUUUAAAUAUUCUCACAAUACUUGGCUCCCUCUUGGCCUUUGUGCCAUUGGCGCAACGAGUCAUCUAGUUAAUAGGAAAGGUUAGAAAAGUAUGAUUUGAGAUUUACUUCUGCAAUCUAUGGUGAAGGAGGAACCCAUGUAUCGGUCGCCGUCCGCAAUGAAUACCGUCCUACCAGGACCGGUACCGGUGAUAUCCAGCUCGCUCUCCGGCCCUGGUUACCCUAUGGUGAAGACAUAAGCCGUCGACUAGACCUCGAUGACCUCACAGCUAGGGACGAAUGCCUUCAACAGCGGUAGCUCAUCGAGCUGGAUGCAGAACCAGCGAUUCAUUUAUCAAAGCAACCUGCUGAAGCCUUCCGCCGUGCCGGGAUGGGGAGGAUCGGGUGCUGGAAAGCAGCAGCCAUCACCCUUGGAAUGGUAACACCAGCAGCCGCAGGUUCGAGAAUGACCCCAGUGAUCCCCUUGUGGAGGACUUUGCCUAUGGGUCAUUCACAGAAAGUGAGACCAAGAAGAUCACCGGGGAGAAGCGUCUGGCUGAGAUUGUGCACACAAAUCCUAAGAGGGUCAGAAGUAUCCUUCAAAACCGAAAAAGGUGCACAAAUUAGUAAUGAUGUGGGUUUUCGAUUACGAGAAAUACAGCUCAGCGGGGUUGGUCAGGUUUGCUGGCUUAGAAGAGUCAAGUGGAAGAUGAUGUUUUAUUUUGCUGUGACGAGGAAGAAAAACUUCACGCAUCUGGAGAGAAACUUUACAUGUUGGCUCUAUUUUCUGGGCAUGUAAUAACAUA